ACACACAGUUCUGGACGAAAAUGUAAAAUGUAUUUCUAAUUGUGCAUUGUGAUGAAAAAAGAUGAAGUUAAGAUGACAUGAACUCCAGAGCAGGAUUUUUGCAGGAAGAUGGAGGAGGGUGGAAGAUGAGAGAGGGAGCUACAGUCUGAGCUUCUUUUGGCUUGAGCUACACGGACCCCAAAAUGGCCCAGUGGCAGACCCACAGGAGUAGAGGGUAGCUGGUUUAGAGCUGCUGAUAAAGGAAGCCAUUCCACUGGGGUGCAGAAUUGCUAAUACCUGAGCUCACCCAGAACAAGGUAUGAUCAUUACAAAUGAUAUGAUUUGGGGAUGUAGGCUCGAGUCACAAUAUCCAGGAACCAUAACACAGUAACAAUCAAAUACCCUUGUUUUGAGAAAGGAGCGCCGUCUGGCUUAAAUUUAGCCGAUGCAGCUUUGUGAAUGCCGCCUUGGUUUCUCAGAAGCUUCAUCCUCAAGAGCCUUGUGUAAGCGGAGAGGGUGAAUGUUGAUUUUUCCCUCUCAGUGUAAAUUUCACUCGACUUUUCCCUUUCAGAGUUCGUAUUACCUUUUUUUCACUUUUAUUAUCCUGUCUAUUUUGUUACUGUCUCUGUGAACUUUGCCUGUGGUACUAUAAACCUGGGAACUAAAUACUUGGCUUUAGCUGCAAGAAUGAAGACAUUAAAGAAACAGGUCUUAGGCUUCUCAAA
rnacentral:lncRNA from 1 species